AGUCGACGGACUCAUAUUGAAACCUAGUGAUUUAUGAGUUAGUGGCGGACGGGUGAGUAACGCGUGGAAAACCUGCCGUAUACCGGGGGAUAACACUUAGAAAUAGGUGCUAAUACCGCAUAAGCGCACAGCUUCGCAUGAAGCAGUGUGAAAAACUCCGGUGGUAUAUGAUGGUUCCGCGUCUGAUUAGCUAGUUGGCGGGGUAACGGCCCACCAAGGCAGCGAUCAGUAGCCGGCCUGAGAGGGUGAACGGCCACAUUGGGACUGAGACACGGCCCAAACUCCUACGGGAGGCAGCAGUGGGGAAUAUUGCACAAUGGGGGAAACCCUGAUGCAGCGACGCCGCGUGAGUGAAGAAGUAUUUCGGUACGUAAAGCUCUAUCAGCAGGGAAGAAAAGGAACUAAAGUUCCCAUGACGGUACCUGAUUAAGAAGCCCCGGCUAACUACGUGCCAGCAGCCGCGGUCAUACGUAGGAUCCGAGCAUUAUCCGGAGUGACUGGGUGUAAAGAGUUGCGUAGGUGGCAUAAUAAGUAGCUAGUGAAAUCUGGUGGCUCAACCAUUCAGACUAUUAGCUAAACUGUUAAGCUCGAGACCGUUAGGGGUAACUGGAAUUUCUAGUGUAGGAGUGAAAUCCGUAGAUAUUAGAAGGAACACCAAUAGCGUAGGCAGGUUACUGGGACG
rnacentral:rRNA from 1 species